rnacentral:rRNA from 1 species
UACGUAGGGGGCAAGCGUUGUCCGGAUUUAUUGGGCGUAAAGAGCGUGUAGGCGGCCAAACAGGUCAGCUGUGAAAACUCGAGGCUCAACCUCGAGACGCCGAUGGAAACCAUGUGGCUAGAGUCCGGAAGAGGAGAGUGGAAUUCCUGGUGUAGCGGUGAAAUGCGCAGAUAUCAGGAAGAACACCCGUGGCUAAGGCGGCUCUCUAGUACGGUACUGACGCUGAGACGCGAAAGCGUGGGGAGCAAACAGG